rnacentral:rRNA from 1 species
GACGAACGCUGGCGGCGUGCCUAACACAUGCAAGUCGAACGGGACCGGGGGCAACGCCGGUUCGAGUGGCGGACGGGUGCGUAACACGUGAGGAACAUGACAUUCGGCGGGGGAUAGCCGGGCCCAACGGCCGGGUAAUACCGCGUACGACCUUUCGGGGACAUCCCCGGCUGGUGAAAGCAGCAAUGCGCCGAAUGAGUGCCUCGCGGCCUAUCAGCUAGUUGGUGGGGUAAUGGCCCACCAAGGGCGACGACGGGUAGCUGGUCUGAGAGGA